rnacentral:rRNA from 1 species
AGAACGAACGCUGGCGGCAGGCCUAACACAUGCAAGUCGAGCGCCCAGCAAUGGGAGCGGCGCACGGGUGAGUAACACGUGGGAACGUGCCUAUCGGUUCGGAAUAACUCAGGGAAACUUGAGCUAAUACCGAAUACGCCCCGAGGGGGAAAGAUUUAUCGCCGAUAGAGCGGCCCGCGUCCGAUUAGCUUGUUGGUGAGGUAAAAGCUCACCAAGGCAACGAUCGGUAGCUGGUUUGAGAGAACGAUCAGCCACACUGGGACUGAGACACGGCCCAGACUCCUACGGGAGGCAGCAGUGGGGAAUCUUGGACAAUGGGGGAAACCCUGAUCCAGCCAUGCCGCGUGAGUGAUGAAGGCCCUAGGGCUGUAAAACUCGUUUCGGCGGGACGAUAAGUGACGGUACCCGCAGAAGAAGCUCCGGACUAACUUCGUGCCAGCAGCCGC